rnacentral:lncRNA from 1 species
AUAAUGUAGCCUAUCUUGUGGGAACAAGCACAUACAUGGAUCUACAUGUCCUUCCUAGAUGACAGUCACAGUCUGCUAAUUUAUCUCCUGUCCCAGGAGGGAAAAAAUGACCGUAUGAUGGUGUGGAUCUCGGGACCCAGGUCACUCAUCACUUCACCCUACAGGGCAGAACAGUUAAGUACGUUAAAGCUUUGGUUCCUUACCUACCUCAAAGAGAUUUUCUGGCAUUGAUCAAUUUCUUCAUCUAAAAAUCUUACAGGAACAGACCUGGAGAAUGUUGCUAGCAGCCUAUGUUACUUCAUCAUCCUCUCUGGAUUGCAAAGUUUUUAGACUGGAUCUUAAGUUGUGCCAUCAUUCCAUUUAUGGAGGUACUACGGAGGAGGCAAUGUGGUUUUCAGGCUACGUAGUAGCUGAGGAAAAAGAAGGAUGCCUUUGUUGAGUCAUAUCCAUGACAGCCAGGAUGAGGUUUGCUUAUGCCAAUGGAACAUGAUAA